UACGUAGGUGGCAAGCGUUGUCCGGAAUCACUGGGCGUAAAGCGCGCGCAGGCGGCGAUCUACGUCUGGGGGUGAAAAGCCCGGAGCUCAACUCCCGGGGACUGCCUUUGGAUACGGGGAUCGCUUGAGGAUUGGAGAGGCAAGGGGAAUUCCACGUGUAGCGGUGAAAUGCGUAGAUUAUGUGGAGGAACACCUGUGGCGAAGGCGCCUUUGCUGGCCAAAUUUUCUGACGCUGAGGCGCGAAAAGCGUGGGGGAG
rnacentral:rRNA from 1 species